rnacentral:rRNA from 1 species
AUUGAACGCUGGCGGCAGGCCUAACACAUGCAAGUCGAGCGGAGCGGCGGACGGGUGAGUAAUGCCUAGGUAUCUGCCUGUGAGUGGGGGAUGACGUUCGGAAACGGGCACUAAUACCACUAACUAGCAGAUGAGGCUAGAUCGGAAUGGCUAGUGGGUUGGGUAAAGGCCUACCAAGGCGACGAUCUCAAACUGGUCUGGGAGGAUGAUCAGUCACAAUUGAACUGAGACACGGGCCAGACUCCUACGGGAGGCAGCAGUGGGGAAUCUUGGACAAUGGGAGAAAGCCUGAUCCAGCAAUGCCGCGUGUGUGAAGAAGGUCUUCGGAUUGUAAAGCACUUUAAGUUGGGAGGCGUUACCAACCGAAUAAGCCCCGGCUAACUUCGUGCCAGCAGCCGCGGUAAUUC